CAAAGCAAACACCCCCCUAGAGAAAAACCCUCCGCCUCUUCGUCUCCGUCAAAUUAACCAUGUCGUGAUGGAGUCUUCUUCUUCCUCCUCUCUCUCUUCAUGCUCCGUCAAUUCUCUCUCUCUCAACCUUCAACCAUCGAACAAGCUCGCCUAUCUCUCCUACUACCAACCCCCUCUCCGGGUAAUCCUAAACCCUAACCCUAAUUUCCUCCGAUCUUGACAAAACCCUAACCCUCUCUUCUCCUCUUUAAAAGACCUCUCCUUAUUUCAGGUCUUUCUCCAUCAAUGACCGCCUCUGGGAGCAGUGGAUCAAGAUGAAGAGCUCGAAUCCGACGAAGAACGCGGAGAUUAAGGUCGAUCAGCAGAACUGGGACGGAGUUGCAAAACUUAAGAUAAACUUUACAGAAGGCCAAUCAGCAGAACUGGCAGCUUGCGCAGGCUAAUUCUCACAUUUUAGUAGAGCUCAAUUUGGGUAAAGACAUUUGCGCUCUCUUAUGGUGUGUUUGGGAGUUUACUAAGGGAAGGGAAGGAAAGGUUGCUGAAGAGCAGGCGAAUCAAGCAGUUCAGUCAAUAAAGCUCGAAGCAGAGAAGCGGAAGAAUGCUGGGACUUGGUUCAAUAAGGGAACCCUUGAAAGGUUUGAUAUAUUUGACCCCUGGUUAUGGUUAGGUUAAUACCAUAUAUUACAAUAAUCUCAAUUCUUCUUAAUCAUGUAAUCUGAUUUCAAUUGGUUAGUGGAUCAUAUUAUGUUCAACAAUGUGUAAUCCCUAUAGCAACCACCUUAGUUAGUGUAGGUAUGUUUUGGAGCUUUGCUCCUUAGUUGAAAGAAACUGGAUACCAUGAUCAAGAAUGCACUUCUUUCUAUAGGAGAACUGAACUUGGCAGCCUGUUUUUCAUUAUUUUUUUCCUUGUGGUCUCCUCAGCGACAACUAUUCAUACAGAUUGUGGCCAUCCUUCAAUGGAGCCUUAUACACCAAGCAAUUUUCCUUUUCUAUAGUUAAGAAACUCCCUGAAAAGUGUUUCUAAAAACUAUACUUGUAGGUUUGUUCGUUUUGUCAGCACUCCUGAGGUGUUGGCGUUGGUCAAUACAUUUGAUGCAGAGAUAUCACAAUUGGAAGGAGCCAGAAAAAUAUAUUUUGAGGGGGCAGGAGAUCAGCUCUCUGGAUAACACCUACAUUGUUAAAGUUUAACCCCCAUUGCUAUUUGGCAUCGGUUCUCGACCCGAUCAACGGAGGGAUCGCCAUCAACCCAAGAAGAAGACUGCAACCCUUGAUGCGAAGAAGAGAAGCAGCGAUAACGACAUUGAAUAUUGUCUCGUUGUGCUCGUCAUGGCGUAAAUGAUGUAUUUGUGCACACCAUCUUUGUGAAUGUUGGGCUAUUUGAAUUAGGAUAUGAAGCAUGUAAAAUAUUUUCUUCUAGUUUUGUUAUGUAAAUAAUUGAAGGAGCGUUGUUAAAUAUUUGGUGAUAUUGCAUCUGAGAAAUAUUUGGUUAUAGUAAUGUAAUAUUUUUUGGGUUC